UUUUAUAAAUAAGAAAUUAUAAAUAUUUUUGAAUUUUAAAAUUAAAUGUAAAACAUCUUAGUAGAUAUUUUCUAAAACAACAAAUACAAAAGUUCACACAAUGUAUAUUUAAAUAUAGGAACAAUUAUUUAUAUACUCCUGAAAAAGUACCUGACUUUUCGAUUUACCCCUCUUAGAAGGCUAAUAUUGAAAAUAUCCUCUUUAUGUUCCAACCUAUUUCUAAUAUACUCCUGGAGUUAAAAUCUGUUAAUGAACUCUGUUAACAAUAUAAAAUUACUAUUUUGCCUUUUCAAAUAUACCCUUUCACCGUAACUGACUUUUGUAUUUGCCCUUAAAGUCAGGGGCACAAAAAGUAUUUUGACUUUUCGUCUUUUCAAAUAUGCCUCUUUAUCUUUAUCAACAUUUUUUAUUUGCCCUUUAAGUUAAGAAUAAAAUUGGCAUUUUAAUUUUUUUUUAACUGUGAUAGAUAUUUAACUCACGUUUAACCCAAGUUAACUUAAUAGGAGAUAACUGCGGAGGUAUUUUAUAAUAACGGUGGAACAUAUAAGGAAUAUUUUAGAAAAAAAAAAGAAUAAAUCGAAUAUUUUAAACAUAUGAGAGGUAUAUAGAGUCAAUUAUUCCUUAAUAAAUAUAUAUAUACACACACAUAU
rnacentral:lncRNA from 1 species